rnacentral:rRNA from 1 species
ACGGACGAGAAGCUUGCUUCUCUGAUGUUAGCGGCGGACGGGUGAGUAACACGUGGAUAACCUACCUAUAAGACUGGGAUAACUUCGGGAAACCGGAGCUAAUACCGGAUGAUAUUUUGAACCGCAUGGUUCAAAAGUGAAAGACGGUCUUGCUGUCACUUAUAGAUGGAUCCGCGCUGCAUUAGCUAGUUGGUAAGGUAACGGCUUACCAAGGCAACGAU